rnacentral:rRNA from 1 species
CACUCCUACGGGAGGCAGCAGUGGGGAAUAUUGGACAAUGGGCGCAAGCCUGAUCCAGCCAUGCCGCGUGAGUGAUGAAGGCCCUAGGGUUGUAAAGCUCUUUCACCGGUGAAGAUAAUGACGGUAACCGGAGAAGAAGCCCCGGCUAACUUCGUGCCAGCAGCCGCGGUAAUACGAAGGGGGCUAGCGUUGUUCGGAUUUACUGGGCGUAAAGCGCACGUAGGCGGACUAUUAAGUCAGGGGUGAAAUCCCGGGGCUCAACCCCGGAACUGCCUUUGAAACUGGUAGUCUUGAGUUCGAGAGAGGUGAGUGGAAUUCCGAGUGUAGAGGUGAAAUUCGUAGAUAUUCGGAGGAACACCAGUGGCGAAGGCGGCUCACUGGCUCGAUACUGACGCUGAGGUGCGAAAGCGUGGGGAGCAAACAGGAUUAGAUACCCCUGUAGUCCCAUGA